GGCGCUAUGGUGUAGUGGCAGCACAUGGGAUUCUGAUUUGUGACAAGUACUAUGGGAUUUCCCACAACCCAGGUUCGACCCCUGGUAGUGCCU